GGAGGGGUGCGAGAGCGGUUGAAUCGGGCAGUCUCGAAAACUGUUGUGCCUUUCGGGGUACCGUGGGUUCGAAUCCCACCCCCUCCG
rnacentral:tRNA from 1 species